rnacentral:rRNA from 1 species
UACGUAUGGUGCAAGCGUUAUCCGGAUUUACUGGGUGUAAAGGGAGCGUAGACGGUUGUGUAAGUCUGAUGUGAAAGCUCGGGGCUCAACCCCGGGACUGCAUUGGAAACUAUGUAACUAGAGUGUCGGAGAGGUAAGCGGAAUUCCUAGUGUAGCGGUGAAAUGCGUAGAUAUUAGGAGGAACACCAGUGGCGAAGGCGGCUUACUGGACGAUCACUGACGUUGAGGCUCGAAAGCGUGGGGAGCAAACAGG